rnacentral:rRNA from 1 species
UACGUAGGUGGCAAGCGUUGUCCGGAUUUAUUGGGUUUAAAGGGUGCGUAGGCGGCUUUGUAAGUCAGUGGUGAAAUAUGGCAGCUCAACUGUCAGGGUGCCAUUGAUACUGCAGAGCUUGAGUACAGAUGAGGUAGGCGGAAUUGACGGUGUAGCGGUGAAAUGCUUAGAGUAUCGAUCAAGAACACCGAUAGCGAAGGCAGCUUACUGGGCUGUAACUGACGCUGAGGCACGAAAGUGUGGGGAUCGAAACAGG